ACCGGAGGCUCAUGGCUGCAACCCGAGCAAGAGUGUUUGGGAAUAACGCUGCAGGGAGAAGUUGGUGUGGCCUGUGAUCCGGCAACAGGGAAGGGCGUUUCGGUUUUAUCUCCACCAGCAUCAGAAUGGAGAAGCCCAUGUGUAUCAGUGGAGGUGAGAGAGGAAGCGUGAAAGAAAUGCUGUAACCUAAGCAAGCAGAGCAAAUGAAUGUUGCAAUGGUAUGGAGGUGUUUGAGAACCGUUAAUUGCAAAAUUCAAGAAUCACAACUAAAUAGCAGAAUUCAGGACUCCGCAUCCUUGGAAGGCUGUAACUAGCUGAUACCCACAGAAGAGUAACUUGCAUAUUUGUGAACAACCCCUACUGUUGUCAUUCUAUUGAUUUAUUUUUAAUCUUUUUUUCUGAAACGUGCUGCAAGAAAUUGUAGAGAGUGUCUCACGUGGAAUUUUGUGGUUUCACAAUGAAAAAAGGGAAAGCAGUAACAUAGGGGAAAACAUUGUCAAUUAAAAGAAAAUGGAAGAUUCGAAACUUCUACGUAAUUCAUCUGCAUUGUCAUUAAACUCCUCCACAAAAGAAAAAAGUGGGCAGCUUAUGGAAAAGUAAUUUUUACUCAGAAACUUCUAAGCAUGGUAAGAAUCUUUAAUCUGAGCAUAUGAAUCACAUAUGAUAAUAUUUGUAAAUUUUAGUAUACAAAACCGCUCAUUCUUAGCUUAGUUAUAGGAUAGCGUCUGUAUGUAUACUCAUUGUAUAAAGUAGGUCAUAUUGCAGUCACAAAACAGUCAAAAUAAUUUUUAAGUAGGUGGAGUGCUGUCAAAGAGAGUUAUAGACUUUACUAUGAAGAAAGUUGUUUACCUGAUAUGAAUGUAAUUUUAGAGUAUUAUGACAUUCUGUACUCUAGUCAUGUUCUUCAAGAAUAUAGAGGAACAGCUUUGACUUCAAUUUCCAGAAAGUUUCUGGAAAAUCUAGUCAUAGUAAGGAUUCAAACAACAUAUUAAUGAGGCUUUUGCCAAA